rnacentral:rRNA from 1 species
AUUGAACGCUGGCGGCAGGCCUAACACAUGCAAGUCGAGCGGUAACAGAGAGAAGCUUGCUUCUCUGCUGACGAGCGGCGGACGGGUGAGUAAUACUUGGGAAUUUGCCUUUAGGCGGGGGACAACCACGGGAAACUGUGGCUAAUACCGCAUAAUGUCUACGGACCAAAGUGGGGGACCUUCGGGCCUCACACCUAAAGAUGAGCCCAAGCGGGAUUAGCUAGUUGGUGGGGUAAAGGCUCACCAAGGCGACGAUCCCUAGCUGUUCUGAGAGGAUGAUCAGCCACACUGGGACUGAGACACGGCCCAGACUCCUACGGGAGGCAGCAGUGGGGAAUAUUGCACAAUGGGGGAAACCCUGAUGCAGCCAUGCCGCGUGUGUGAAGAAGGCCUUCGGGUUGUAAAGCACUUUCAGCGACGAGGAAGGGUGUUGUGUUAAUAGCGCAGCGCAUGACGU